GAUGAACGCUGGCGGCGUGCUUAACACAUGCAAGUCGAACGAGAAAUGUAGACGGAAACCUUCGGGCGGAAGCCUUCAUUUCGAGUGGCGGACGGGUGAGUAACGCGUGGGUAACCUGCCUCAUACAGGGGGAUAACAGUUGGAAACGACUGUUAAUACCGCAUCAGACCACAGCAUCGCAUGAUGCGGGGGUAAAAACUCCGGUGGUAUGAGAUGGACCCGCGUUCGAUUAGCCAGUUGGCGGGGUAACGGCCCACCAAAGCGACGAUCGAUAGCCGAUCUGAGAGGAUGACCGGCCACAUUGGGACUGAGACACGGCCCAAACUCCUACGGGAGGCAGCAGUAGGGAAUAUUGCACAAUGGAGGAAACCCUGAUACAGCGACGCCGCGUGAGUGAAGAAGUACUUCGGUAUGUAAAGCUCUAUCAGCAGGGAAGAAAAUGACGGUACCUGAGAAAGAAGCCCCGGCUAACUACGUG
rnacentral:rRNA from 1 species